rnacentral:rRNA from 1 species
ACUCCUACGGGAGGCAGCAGUCGGGUAUUUUGGGCAAUGGGGGACACCCUGACCCAGCAACGCCGCGUGAAGGAUGAAGUAUUUCGGUAUGUACACUUCGAAAGAAUAGGAAGAAUUAAUGACGGUACUAUUUAUAAGGUCCGGCUAACUACGUGCCAGCAGCCGCGGUAAUACGUAGGGACCAAGCGUUGUUCGGAUUUACUGGGCGUAAAGGGCGCGUAGGCGGCAUGGUAAGUCACUUGCUGAAUAUCUCCGAGCUUAUACUCGGAACGGCCAAGUGAUACUGCUGAGCUAGAGUGCAGAAGGGGCAAUCGGAAUUCUUGGAUGUAGCGGUGAAAUGCGUAGAUAUCAAGAGGUAACACCUGAGGUGAAGACGGGUUGCUGGGCUGACACUGACGCUGAGGCGCGUAAAGCUAGGGGAGCAAACGGGAUUAGCAUACCCCGGUAGUCUCUAGCCCUAAACGAUGACAUACUUGGUGUCUGGAGGUUUACAUACUCCGGGUGCCGUCGCUCACGUUUUUAGUAUUCCGCCUGGGGAG